rnacentral:rRNA from 1 species
AACGAACGCUGGCGGCAUGCCUAACACAUGCAAGUCGAACGAGACCUUCGGGUCUAGUGGCGCACGGGUGCGUAACGCGUGGGAACCUGCCCUUAGGUUCGGUAUAACUCACCGAAAGGGGUGCUAAUACCGGAUAAUGUCUUCGGACCAAAGAUUUAUUGCCUUUGGAUGGGCCCGCGUUGGAUUAGCCAGUUGGUAGGGUAAAAGCCUACCAAGGCGACGAUCCAUAGCUGGUCGGAGAGGAGGAUCAGCCACACUGGGACUGAGACACGGCCCAGACUCCUACGGGAGGGAGCAGUAGGGAAUAUUGGACAAUGGGCGAUAGCCUGAUCCAGCAAUGCCGCGUGAGUGAUGAAGGCCUUAGGGUUGUAAAGCUCUUUUACCCGGGAUGAGAAUGACAGUACCGGGAGAAUAAGCACCGGCUAACUCCGUG